UAAAUCUGUUGAUUUGGCUGAACUCUAUUCAUUCAGUGUUAAACAUUUUUUUUUGUCUGUAUGAUGCACAUGAUGAUUAAACUCUUAACAUGCGCACCAGGUUUUUGUCCACAGAGACUAAAUUGACAUCUUAUAGGUGACAUUAGUGUUUAUAUUUAUGAAGCUCCUUUCAUCACUAGCUGAUGUCACAUGGCUGCAGUGUCUGUCAUUUUUUUUUUGUUUUCUGAAUGUUGUUGUAGAGGAGAGCCAUUCAUCAGAGCUCAGAGCUGGAUAUGUUCUAGUUGUGCAGUCCUACCUGAUUAUCCUUUUGUUUUUGUUCCCUUAUUUUUUUUUGCCGCGGUAACAGUUAUCUUUAGUUCUUUACCAUGGAAUGAACAAUUAAACUGACUUACUUAUGUGUUUUAUUUGUAGAGCAAACCCUGUGCAGGCAGGAUCUCAGGCUGAAUUCUCCCAGUGGUUAUGUUAUGUACACAACGUGGUUAAUCGAAGGUAACUCCAUACGGUCAGCUUUGAGCUGUUGCUUGGUAUAGUCUUGAAAAUCAUCUAAGGCACUGUAGUGUCGAAUCUAUUUCUAUAGAAUCAUAGGAAAAAUAAGGUCGAGGGCCAAAAGGAGGAAAACUGAUGCACUGUAGCUAUUUGGCACCCUUUUACUCCUACAAUAAGGGGUAUGUCAGUGUGUGGUUUAAGAGUAGAUCUGUUUCCGUUCUGAUAUCAUCAUGAUUUUGCAGAAUGUUAUGGAGCCUCUACUUUUGAGACUGUUCUUAUGUGUUGCCGAUCUGAGCAUUUUGUGGUUGUUUUUUGCAGCCUUGGGAAACCAAUAUUUCCCUGUCAAAGAGUAACUGCACGAUGGGGUAAACUGGAUUGUCCCGAACGCUCGUGUGAUCUAGAAGGCGCCAACGACAUCAUGCCAAAUCGAUGACGCAAACAAGAAAUUCCUCUGGAAUAUUUACUUCAAUGAGGAUUUUUAAACAAGCUAUUGUAUGAGCCUACUACCAGGGAGAUGAGGAAAGAGAGUUCAGGGCUCCAUACCGAGUUGCUGACAUUGUAGAGCGAAGAGCGUCUACCUGAUUUUCUGUAUCCUUGGGCGCUGGUGGUGUUAGUGGUAGUAGAGUAUGUUGGAUUCGAAUCUGGCGAUGUUUGUACUUUGUACAGUUUUACCAUGGUAACAGUAAUCAAAUUUUGUUUGAGCUACUGAUCUUGUUCCUGCAUUUAUUUUUGGCUAGGUUCUGUGUAUGUUCCCUAGUCUGAAGUCUGCUUCUUCUAUCUAUCAGACCAUACAGUCGUACAGAUUUUUGUGCAGAUGACGGAUAUCUGAACAGUUUUGUAUAAUAUCUCGUGAGUCAGGAGUGCACUUCUAUAGAAAAACCCUGGAAAAUAGGAUGCUGAAAUACUAAAAGAUACCUACCGAUAUUAGAAAGCCUGGACCAGCAACACCUGCAAGCAUGGCCAUCAAUGCGAGAUUGCCGGCUGAAGGAGGAAUGCAUGGCCUUGCCGGCUGAUGGAGGAAUGCAUGGAGGCCACCUUCCUCGCUUUCCCCGGCCAUUUUUCUGCAGCUCAGCUCCUCGUUGUUGACGAUGACAUAAAUUCUGCUGUCUUAUCACAUCAGUUUUUUAAUCCCAUGCUGACAUCUAGCAGCAAUGCGAAUGAAAUUCAGAAAUUGCAUCACGCAUGGACCUCUCGCUAUCUUAAGAAGAGGAGCCGCAGGAAGCCAAAGGAAACGAAGCACAAGCGCAUUUGAAACUCUGAAGGGAUUGGAUUGUGCGUGCGCAGGUGCAGGAGAUGAGGCUUCCCUCAACGCUGGUGUUGCUGAUAUUUGCAUUUGUUGGAGGAAAUCUGCUCAUGGGCAUCUCCUCUAAUGCAAGAAGCGCCAAGAACUCCACAGGUACAUUCAGCAAACCGUCCUAUUCCUGGCUCAGGCAAAUCUUCCCGUGUUUUUCUCCUGCCACUUUGUUCAUACGGCUUCUGUUCUUUUCCAUCUUUCUCGUCGGUUUUGGAGUAAUGAGUGAUAGUUACAGGCUUGGGGCUUGAGAAAUUAUCUCACCGCCUUGGGUUCACGGUACAGUGAUGGAUAUUUGAAAAGAUUGUUGAUGGGUUCUGAUGCUAUUUUCUCAAAAUUCAAAAGAAAAGAGAAUAAGAAGAUCUGAAUCACCUGACGAUAUUGAUAGCUCAACAUAACAAUGCCAUUGGAUCUUCUCACCAAGCAAGAAUGCCAUUGGAAGCAUAUGCCAUUGGAGUUCACUUUAACAAUUACUACUGACUAAACUAUAUAUCUAAUCAUGCAUGUAUAUCUUAUCCAUGAAAGACAAUUGUUACUCCCCUCUUUUCAGAAUGCAAGGCAGGGUUUGGCCUGCUCUCUCUCUCCAAAAUUCAUUUUGAUCGCUAAUCUCAUAUAUUAUACUGUUCGAGACCAUGAAAUCGACAUCUUAUGAAAGUGCAUUUAAAUGGAAUUCAUGUUAAUAACUGCUUAUUGUAUAAUCUACAACCUAGGCUAAUUCUUGGUUAGAGAUUGAGUCUUGGAAUGCAUGUGUGUCUUAAAAAGGAAAAGGAGGGAACAGUUGGUACGAACUAAUUUUCGCCGGCCACUAAAUGUAUGGACUUCCGACAGUUGUGGGUGCAAUGAUGGUUAUUUAAUCUGUAGAUGCUGUUUUGACUGGUUGGUGCUGUUUUUUUUUCUCUCAGCAUCUUUUUAUUCUGAAAUAUUGAGAUUGUAUAUGGGGAAUAUGUGGCCUAUGGUUUACAUUUAGUUGCAUUCCUUGCAGAUCCAGGGCAUGGAAACAUUGAGUUAAACGGCAGGAAACUAAAGGUGUGAGCUCAAACAUAGAUGGAAAAUGUCCUGCAUUCCCUAGACCAAUAAAACUUGUGUUUCUUGAUAUAUCCUUCUUGAGGCAGUUGUUUUCCAUUACUAAUCAUAGUGGGGGAACAAUUGCAAGUUCUUACAAAUGAUUCUUCAUGUAUCAUUUUCAGGAACGAUACACUAUCCGGAAGACAAGGGGCCUGGAAAAUAUUAGGACGGAUGACUACCAGCCCGUUGAUCCAAGCCCAAGCUCCAAAGCCACCAUCAGACCAGGUCCAAUUGAGCAUGGCGCACCGAUUCUUCCUUAUGUACCACAGUACCCACCGCCUCCUGGUGGCCACCCUGAGGGUGUGUCUCCUGCUGGAUCCCCUUCCACUUAGAUGCACGCUGAAAUUGUCCAAAUCUGCUAUGACCCCCUAUAUGCGGUCAAAGUCUGCUUUGUUAUGCUGUUUUCAAUGUUUACUAGUGUACCAUAUGUCUGAAAUGUUAGUGUCUUGGGGUUACCUGUAAGUGUUUUGAGUGGUGCAUUAUGUUCUAUGUAUGCUGUUCUUGAAUCAGCUGGUAUGGAGUUUUUUUUUUGCAGGCUGAAUUAGGUAACUGUUAAAAUGCUGAGUAGUGCACGCUUCUAUUUUGGACAUCACAAGUGAUCACGAUCAAUUUUCUGGUUUACUUCUUACGGUGCAUUGACACGGUCUGCCGCCAUGUCUAGGGGAUACUCCUACGAAUUCGUUCAGGAGAUCGAAGUUGAAUCGAUGCUGAAUUCUCAUGUGGUCUUGCGAACGGAUGCAUCGGUUUUGGAAAGCCAACAUGGGGUUUGCUAGGAAACGCUGAACGAAUUCGGGUCGGUUCAGGUGAUAGGUGAUUGCAUUUCCUUUCAUACCUGCACACGUUUCCUUCGAUGCUAUAUGUGGAAUUUCAGACAGGUGAAUAUAUGUGAUUGUACUUCGCCCGGAGAGCGUCCGCCAUUGCCGCCUUUUGGAAAGCAAGCGUGUCGAGCGGGGUGGGCCGGCGCAGAGAGGCCAGAGCGAUGCCGAAGCGGCACAGGUCGGACGACGCAGGCGACCGCAGAUCCAGGAGUUCAUGCCGCCGGUGCCCGCCGCAGCGGCAUCUCUACGUCGUGCUGGACGACUGGUCCAGGGGCUACAGCAUCUACAAGCUCGACGUGGACGGCUCCGGCGGUGGCGACCCCGACGACGCCGACUUGUACCUGCGCGCAGAGCGCCUCCCAGAGCCGCCGGUAUUCCGCCUCGAGAUGCCCGUCAAGGUGCGCGGACGUUUCGCGCUCUUCGCCGCGGUUGGCACCAGGAUCUUCGCCAUGGAUUACAGCGACGAGAACAGGGACGCCCCCGUGCUGGUGUACGACACGGCCACGGGGGCCCUGGCCGUCGGCCCCGCCACCCCCGCCGAGCUCCAGUACCUCCCCAAGCUCGUGGCCGCCGGCGACCGCUGGCUGUACGCGCUGGACAGGAAGGCCAGCGGCGGCGGCGACCACCUCAUGGCUGAUGGCGCUGGAGCCGCACGGGACGGACGGGUGGGGCUGGACCAGCAUCAGGGACGCGCCGUGGCAGGCGGGGUGCUGGCGGCGGGACUGGGGCAGCAUCAGGGACGCGGCGCUCGGCGGCGGGCGGGCCCCCGACUGCCACGCCGCGCACCCGGACGGGCGCACCGUCUUCUUCUCCGUGCACGGCAGGGGCACCUUCUCGCUCGACAAUAGAACGGAGGAGUGGGCGCGGCACGGCGAGUGGACGCUGCCGUUCCGGGGCCAGGCCUACUACUAGGCCGAGCUGGACGCGUGGGUGGGGCUCCGCUGGGUGGACGGGGACGACGCGGCUGGUCAAGGGCUCGUCUGCUCCUGCGACGUCGUUCCUCCUGACCCCGACGACGGCGACGGCCGGGAGCCGGCAUGGAAGGUCGCCGAGGUGGUCGAGGCGGACGGUGAGAGGACCGUGGCCGUGAAGCUGGCGCGCAUGGGCGGCGGCGUGUUCUGCCUCGUGGAACGCCGGCGCAGGAGGGGCGCGCACGACGACGGGGACGGGCGAUGCCUGCUCUACGCGACCACGUUCCGCCUCCGGUACGGCAAGGACGGGGAGCUGCGUGCCGCGGAGCGCCGGGCGCGCUGCUACGCGGUGCACAAGAGGUCGCAUAAGUUCGAGUGGCAGGCGUUCGGAAUCUGAUGAAACCGCCUCGAUUUCUUCCACCUCCUCGCCUUUAGCACAUUAUAAACUGGUGAAGAUCAUUGUACUGAACUGGAUGCUUCCAAUAGUUGCGCGUGUUAGCAUUUCGCAGGAGGAUGGCCAGCUGCUUGCAGACUGCAGGGCACUCUGUUCUGUUUCGCGAUCGAUUCAUGUGCUUUCUGAAGGGAAGCAAAUAGAAUCGUCUGCAUAGAUCAGGGUGUUGUUCCAGUGCAGAUGAUCGAUACCAUUGUGUUUUUUUUUCGAGAAAGCUGUAAUCUGAUUGAUAGGAGCGACGAGAAUUUCCAUGAUGGUCUGCAUUGAGAACUGUUGUGAUCGAUAUACAAAGCCACAAAGGCGAGCAUCUGCAUGUGUUUGGAGCAGAUGGAUGCUGAUGGGCCAUAUGAAUGCAGGAACGUUCCGAUCUGCGUCUGCUCACCACGAGCCGCGCCGGGAUGGCCGAAAUUUCCAGGCAGUACGUCCAGAUUGCCAGGGUUAGAAACAAGAAACUGAACUGAAUUUUCUUAAGAAAGCCUGUGCAAGGAGUAUUUGAAGUUAAAAUUUUGAACGCGUGCUACCCGGCAAAGAAUUGGCGUCUUUCAGUUCCAUACCGGAAUGUUCUCUCGUUGGGAGAAUUUCCAGAAAUUUUAUGCGAGCCAGGUGCCUCCUACGGCCCAGUAGCAAACUGAUAGGAGGAAUGUCCUGCCACGGCCCAUCUAGGUCCAAGCCAGGCCGCGCUGAUGACUUGACUUGACCUUGCCCGAAACCGAAAGGUGCCGGGUGUAAGCAAUCGAGCGAUCCUACCACUCUCCCCGUUUGUUCCAGUCCCCCACUCCAAUCUGCUGCAAAACCCUCAUCGUGCCUGCAACCAGCGAUCAAGCCGAUCUUCGCCAUGCCGUCCGCCUCCGGCCGCCGCAAGCCGUCGCGGUCCUCCUCUGCCAUCGUCGCGGACAAGGAGCGCGGGCGCCACGAGCUCAGGAUCGACGCCGGUACCCUCGACGCCGCCGCGCCCGCCGGAGAAAGGGGGCUUCUGGCUUCCUCCCCCUUCACCGUGGGAGGACACCGCUGGCGCGUCCGGUACUACCCCAACGGGGCCGACGCGGAGAGCAAGGGGUGGGUGUCCAUCUUCCUCUUCCUCGACGAGGACGUCGCCGAGCCGGUGACGGCGCGGUUCCGGCUCAGCCUCGUGACGGAGGUGCGGGCACUGUUCUGCAUCAAGUGCAAGGCCGAAUUGCUUUCAAAGCCCGAAGCGCAGUACAACUUCACGAGCAGGGGUACUUGGGGGUACUCCAAGUUCGAGCAAAGACAGACCGUGGCCUCGCUGGUGCGUCGCCGCGAGGUCGAUCGAUUCAGCAUCAGGUGCGACAUCGUCGUCCUCAACGGGUUCCGCACGAAGGAGGAGGCGCCGUCGGCCGCCAUUCCCCCGUCCGACCUGCAAAAGCACCUCGGCGACUUCCUGCAGAGCGGAAGGGGCACGGACGUGGUGUUCGAGGUCGGCGGCGAGGCGUUCGCCGCGCACCGGUGCGUGCUCGCGGCCCGGUCGCCGGUCAUCAGCGCGGACCUCCUGGGCGCCGCGAGCGACGGCGCCGCAGCGGCCGGCGUGGUGCGCGUGGAUGGCGUGGAGACACGGGCGUUCAAGGCUCUGCUCCGCUACGCCUACACCGACUCGCUGCCGGAGAUGGACAGGGAAGAGGAAGACGCCAUUCUCCGGAACGUCGCGGCGGACAGGUACAGCCUGCAGAGGCUGAAACUGAUCUGCGAGGACAGGCUGUGCAGACUCGUUAGUGUAGGCACGGUGAAGAUCACCCUUGCGCUAGCUGAGCAGCACAAGUGCGACAGGCUGAAGGAGGCGUGCCUGCAGUUCCUCGGUGCUCCGGCGAAUUUGCGGGCAGCCAUGGGCGCUCGUGGCCAGUAGCGGCCUCCUGCAUAUGCUUUUCACUGAUAAGGAUCUAACACUUUAACACCGAUGCCGGAAUCAUAGUCAAGUGAUGCUCAGUGAGUUUGCGUUUGUGGAUCAUGGUUCCUGCACUUCUCAUUGUCUUACAUUACCUGCUAGUGAUUAUCAGGGUGCAUAGCUACUUGGAUCCUAUGCAGAAGCAGAAAUUCCAUCUUGCCUUGGAAGAUAGUUCAUAGUUAGUUGCAGCCCUAUGACUGACAAUUGAUCAGAAUUCAGAAAUGACUUUGUUACUAUAUAGCUUUGCAGAUUGAAUGCUCACUAGGCAUCAGUGUUUGUUUCAAUGUUUGGGUGGAAGAAGCUGUUUGCCACUUUGCAUAUCUGUUCCUGUUUUCUAGUUGUAAGCUGUCAGGUCUAUGAGACUAUGACUGCAUCUAUCCAACGGAGAUGCAAAACACUGAAAAUGCAAUUGCAUUCACUCAUGCAGGACUCUGUUUCGGUCUCUGUUUUCUUGUUGGUCGCAUCUAUGAAACAGGUAGGAGGGAUGCUUGUAUGACUGAUACAGAAGAAGUGCCCUUAAAUAAUACAUCCACAGCUAGCCUUGUCUCUAGACCAACAAGCAAGUAAACAAAGCAACUCCUUACAUUGUAUUGAUCACAUGCUGAUUCUUUUAUUGCUGAUUUGCCUUAGAAACUACGAAUGUUGAGUUUCAGGACGACCCUACAGUCUACGAAUACGAUUGUUAGUCAGAAAGGAAGCCUACUUUCAAACCUAAAACAUGUGUUGAAACAGAGAUGCUUUACAUUUGAACACUUUUAAACCUGCAACAUGUGUUGAAAUGUAAAGCAUCUCCGACUCUCUGUUCAUGUGACAAUGCAGUACCAUCAGAAUGCAAUUUUGGUCGUGAUAAAACUUUCUUGAAAAAUCAAGUUUCCAUUUGUCCUGUUUAUUCUGAUCCAUGAACGUCAAUUACCCAUCUUGCCGACAACCCAAAAAAGAAACAAAAAGGCAUGAUUAGCUUGCAAAAUUAUGAACUAGUCAUAUAUGCUCAUGAUACCUGAUAUCAAGAUGUUACUAGCCACCUAUCUGAUGCAAUCUUCCAGUUCUGUGGAGCUGGUUGUUAGGAUUUCAAGGGUUGCUUUUAACUUAAGCUCGGACAAGCAGAACAAACUAAUGGUGAUGGUUUCCAUUAGUGGCUUCUUCCUUUCAAGCUUUUUUCAAUUGUCCCACUGACAUAGACGCUCCACACGAUGUUACAUAUUUUUUUUCAAAGAGAUCUUAGUGGGAUUUAUUCAAUGAUAUAUGUCACUGAUCCACGAAUCAAAAACUAGUACAUGUCAAAAGGAAAUUUGACCAAUAUGAACUUUAUGCCAGAAAGUAUAUACGUUUCUGUUAUGCUACACAAAGACCCUGUUUAGGUAGAAAGAAAACGUAUCCCAAGUCCAAAGCAAGUAGAACGAGCAUGUAGAAUACUUCAUCCUGGUCAUACAAGAACACCACAUUUGAUUCACAUGCCGAGCAAAGAAUCAAAGUAUUGCAAUCAACUAGGAUAAAGCUAGAAUGACAUGAGACCUAAUCACCAAGCAUCACCUGCAACAACUCGAUUACCAUCGUGACAUGUAUGUUCCUUAUGUUUCAAGGUAUAGCACCAUUAGCAUCCUAGUUAAAUCCACACGCACACCAUGCAUUACCGAAUCUUCAAACCAUGAAGAAUGCAAUCAUGCCAAAAAAAACUACCAUCCUUGCUUAUCACUAGGAGUGAGAUAUAAUUACCUCUCCACUGACAACCUCCAUCAAAUUCAGAACUGAGGAAUGCAGCAGAAGGCUCCCUUGAGUUCUGGUGCUAACUGACCAAAUUGUGCUUUAUUGGUGACACUUACCUUCAGUGAUGGACCUAUUACUACUAACUAACUAGCUAACAAGCAUUAUUAGCGGACAACUUGAUUGUUGAGCACCGGUGUUAAAACUCAGCAAUCAGCAGUCGCUGCUGGGCGACACCUCAGCUAAUGCUGACCUUUGUCGAGGUGAAAGCCUGAUGGUGUUGAUGUUGUUUCUUACAACAGUGUUCCUAGUACCCGGAUACAGUCAGAUAGGUUGUUAAGAAGCUGUUGUUGCAGUGAACAGUUUAUCUUUUUUUCGAAAAAUAGUUGUGUCCACUGAUCUCUCCUGCUGCACCGUGACAGACAUUUCUCGUCGAACAGCACCAGUUACAUCUCCGUGUUAAACCUUGAAUCCAUAGUAGUUUCUUGGAUAGUUAACAUCACAAGAUCUUUUUCAUGAUGCAUCAUUUUAAAUGGCACCGUCCUGCAUCUUGCAACUGAAGUCUGUUUACAUUUUCUCAUGUUCAUGUUGCUUGUCCAUCCAAAUCUUUGUAGACUGUGAACACCAAUAUCCAAAAAGGAAAUCUUAUUGCAGAUCUGGAUGACAUUAGUAAUACAUAUCUUACUAAUUUAGAAAUGCAUCGCCGAUGUUUCUUCCCCAAUACAACAAGAAGUCCUAUCUCACUGAUCUUCAAUGCUGUUAAGGUUGCAUUAUUCCAUUUAGCUGAGCUUUCAAGCAGAAAAGUGGAUUCCACUUUGACAAAUUCCUAAGUUUCAGAUGAGAAUAGAUUCUAAUUCAAGUCAAACACUACAAACAUGGUCUACUUUUCCUUGAGCCAUAUGUGAAGCAACUGCAUUUAGAUUCUUUGAGUGGUUCGUUCCCAGGAUAAGCAAAGAUUAUUCCCAAAACAACAGAAUUGAUACUUCCUUGCAAUGAAGUAUAGGCCUAUUCAUCUUACUGUUACUAAUUGGAGGUUCUAUGUGGACACUCUAGAAAAAUAGAGAAACGCUAGAAAUUCUCAAAAAAAACAAAACAUCUGGCCAUUAAUCGGUAGACUCAAAUCAUUAUAGUCAUUGGAUCUAUUAUGUUUUCUAAAAAAACACCCACCUAUGCCAUUAUGAAAAUAGCCUAAAGUAACCCCCUAAAUCUAUAUCUAAAAUUAUCCACAUCUGCCAUUAUAUAAAACUAAAGUAACCCCCUAUUUUCCAUCAAAACUACCCACUCAUGCCAUUAUAAACAAUAUUUAAAAUAACCCUCUAAAUUUGCACCUAAUUUCCCACCACUAAUACCAAAAAAAAUUUAAAGUGACCCCUUAAAUUUGCAUCUAUAUUACCUACUUAUGUCAUUAUUAAAAAUAACAUGAGGUAACCCUACAUUUGAAUCCAAAUCACCUUAAUUAAAAAUAUACAGCAAUAUAUGAUUCUAAAUCGUCUAUUUUUUAUACUAUUGGUAUAUGAUAUAAUAACUAAAGUAUAUACGGUGUGUCACUAUUUAUAAAAGAUAUAGAGGAAGUAAUGAGAAUAUAGAUUUCUAGGUUAAAAUUGUAGUUCAAACUUAGGAUCCAUUAAACAAAUUCAAGCGCAUACCAAAGUGAAAAGUUAAACAUUAUAAAUAUGGAUAAAAAUAUUAUAGAGUAAUUACUAACUAAAUUCUAUCACAAUUGGAUGAAGAUAAUAAGUAUGUAUCUAUAUAAGUAUUAUGUUCGAAUAUUUAACAAAUGAGAGAUAGCUUAUGGUAAUAGUUUUGUAGCAACGUGAUCUUUUUUUUUUCAUUGGAGACUCCACAUUAGUUCCCACGAGACACGCUAAAAAAAGAGACAAAUCCUAGAAAUUUUCACAAAAAUAAAAAAUAUCAAACAUCAAUUAUAUAAACUCUAAUAAUCAUAGCCAUUGGUCUAUUAUAUUUUCUAAAAAUGUAAUCACACUAUCAUUAUGAAAGUAUUUAAAAAUAAACUCUAAACCUAUAUCUAAAUUAUCGUUCAUUAUAAAAAAUAAUCUAAAGUAACUCCAUAAUCUUCAUCCAAUUUAAUCAUACAUGUCAUUAUAGAGCAUCAGUUAAAAUGACAUCUUAAAUUUUUAUCUAGGUUACCCACAUUUGUCGUUAUUAAAAAUAACCUAAAGUAAACACCUAAAUUUUAAUCUAAUUAUCUUCACGUGCAUCAUACAGAAAUAUCCAAAAGUAAACUAAUAUAUGAUUCUAAAUUACCUAUUUAUACCAUUGUUAAUAUAGAAAUAUUAAGUUAAAGUAUACACACAUGAUGAGUUUCACCAUUUAGAUCAUUUAUUCAUGUUUGUGAGAAAUUGAUGAAAAUAUUGAUUUUCAUGCUAAACACAAUGUAUGGAGGUGCGAUACAAAAUGAAAAAGUGUGAACGUGCAUGAAAAAGUGUACAUAACUAGAUAAAGAUAAGUACAUAUCUAUAUAACUAUUAUGUUGAAGUAUUGAAAAAAAUAAGAGAGCUAAACAAUGUUGAUUAUUAGCUAGGAGUUUAAUUUCUAAAUAAUUUUUAAAUACAAUAGCUUUUAAAAACAUUAGCUUGUGCGGGAGCACGGGUUGAUAGACUAGUACAACUAAAUGGAAUGUACACAAACACAACAAAUUGGAGCAUUGAAUUCCAAGCUUGUUGAACAUUACUUUGUGCUAUCUUCAAUCCUUUGUAACUUGCAAGCAUGGGGCAUGGCAAACACAGAGCAUCAAGCAACGCCAAAGCAAUGAGGUGUACACAAGAUGAUCUUCUCCACUUCAGAAUAACGCAGUGAACGUAGCUGCAAGCAAGGUGUAGGUUUCGCAGAAGGCGUCCGAAGAACUCUCCUCUUCCAGGGAUAAGGGCAUUCAGAAACUUCAUAUAAUCAGAAGAGUUGGUCAAGUUCCGGCGCACGCUUAGCUGUUGCCAAUUGAGAUUACAAAUUUGGUGCUCGUCUGAAAGUUUGUGCGCGUAGCUGUUGCCACUCCAAAUUGUGAUGCUCCUUAUCUGAAAGCCACUCGCAUUCUUCGUAGUCACGCCGUGGUGAUGCAAAGGCAUACGCAUCAUAAUGCAUAAACAAUUAUUCCAGCCGUGCACAGCUUAGCAACUGGAGUAUGAUUGCACAUACAUCCCACAGCUGCAGUAGUCAGUAUGAAGCCAUGUAAAGAUACUGCGCUCAAGUCCUCUUUUCUUUCCCUGUAUACCACUUCAUAAUGAUAGUACGUAGUAGAAAUGAUGAGUUUGUUAAGAGUUACAGUCUGUUACACGAGUACAUCAAAACUUAAAUGCUCAUGUUCAGAGAAGGUACCUGAAUACAGUGCAAUGUACCAUUUGUUGUAGUAAGAGGCAAGUCUUCAGUACAGUACCUCAAACUGAACUUUGCGGUUACUACUAUCCUGGUACGUUUGAUGAGUGGCGAACUGCCUCGCUUCUUCGAUGUUCCUGUGCUGAAUCUCCACGCUGAUCAGAGUCAGUAAGUCACAUGCUGUAACACUGUUAUGAUUCCAUACCUACUUUAGCCCUUGAUAAACUACUUUAAAAGUUAACACUGCAUAAAAAACUGCAAAUCUUCAUGAACUCUCUCUCUUUCUCUCCAGGGCAAUGGUCCAGCUCUUCUAAGAUGCUGUCACUUUUACCCUCUGGAGCAGCAGCCAGAUGCCGGCCCUUUCUGCACAUGCACUAGCACAUGGCUAAAUGCCAAUGUGGUUCUGUAUUUGAAACUAAUGCAUACGUUUUUGAGAAAGUAGAUACAGUGUUAUAUACAAUCUGUAAAUCAGCAAAGAUGCAUACUAAUGUGACCCCAGGACUGAAUUGAUUAAAGGCAUAAAAAAGAUAGUAGAACCUCCUUAGAAGCAAAGGGGGUGAGGAGGACAAGGAAAGGUAUACAGUUCAGAGUGAGGAGGGAACAGUGUGGGGCCUCACAAAGCUUAAUCUGCAAAUAAUGGCUCCCUUUAAGGGCCCUAAAGCUGAUGCUUGCUGGGUUUUGGAGACUCAUUUGUGCGGAGCGGCCGAUUAAACAGGCGAGGCUUGGGAGGACAGGCUGCAGCUGCCGAGCUCCUCCUAGUUCGCGUUGCCACCUCGUCAGUCAGGUACUGCUGAAACCUUUUGCAGCCUCUGAAAGUUCAGAUUUGCUUUCUGCUCCUGUAUAGUUUGGUUUCUGAUUCAUUUUCUUUGGAAUCUUGAGAUGCUCGAUCUUGUGAUCUUUCGCCAUUGCCUUUGCUGUUUCUUGCUCCUUUUUCUCACUUUUUAUGGGGCAUCUCUGAAUAUAUGAGCUUAUGAACUGGAUAUGCAAUGGCAUUUUGAAUUGUAAGCUGUCAGCAAGAUGCAGCUUUUUAAUCUUUUUCUAGUUGACGAGUAUGCAUGACCCUUACAAGGAGAUCGUAGGCCCAGAGCCGUUUUAAAUUUAAUUAGGAGGCCUCAUUUCUUAGUUUAGCAAAUUUUAGAAUGCAGAGAAAAAUCACACUUUCUGAUUGCAGCCUUUGUGGAUGUCGGUCUUGACACUUUAGACUAGCAAACACAAUAUUUCAUCAACAGAUUAAUACCUAAAAGCAUUCAGAAGCAAUUAUUUUGUUUUCAUUUCAGUAGAUUUUUCAAGCAAAAGUACACGUAGAACAGUAAAUUCAGUCACAGAGCAUCCCAUAAACUUCACGUCGAGAUGACUACGUAUUCCCAUGCGAUACCUUGUGUUCGUCAGGAUCGAUACAGCAGUUGCAGCCAUCGGUAUCAGGUGGGGUGGUAUUUUGGCGCUUUCAGAGCGGCGUCGGUGUGGUAGGCAGGAGCAGUUCUUUCUGUGACGUUUACACGCGCGAAAUCGAAAUAGCAGUAGUGUGUGAAGCAAGUACGCAUCGAUGGACCUAGCCACAAAAGCCAGAGAAAAUUCACGAAGGGAAAUGUCCACGAGAGCUCCCGAUUGUUGUCACAUCCUUGUCGCCGGGAUCGUUGCCCGUGUCGUCAUCCUGGGGCUCUUUGUCACGGCCUCUGUAAAUCGCAAUCAGAAUACCUGCAUAGCUUCUUAGUCACAUGUACUGAUGGUUUUCCUCCCAGAAUUAUUUUAUGUCGCAAAACAAAACAAGAUGCAGGUCAUGGGCUUCACCACCGUAGAUUGGCAGAAAUUCCUCCCCCAACCCCACCCCCCAAAAAAAAUGCGUUGAAUUUGCGGUGCUGGUCUUCUUACUGCUCCUUUCGUCCUUUGCUGUAGCCUGAGCGAGUGAUCCGGAGCAUGUCUGCAUCUCUGCAUGUGAGUGAAAUUUGACACGUAUGAUAUUUUACAAGGCACAUGGUUAGAGCCUUAUCCCAGCUACAGUACCUGCAGGCGCUGUAUACAAUACAUGUACAUUGCAAAUAAGCACGCGCAUGUGUACUGUUGGGAGCAUUAGCGACCUGAGCCGCAGGCAAACGCAACGCAAUCAUGGAUCCCUGGCGCCUUCCCCUGUCCGAUCCUCUGUCCAAUUGCCUGCCUGAUUGGCAUCACCGCCUUCAUGCAUUUGCCACUAGUCAAACCGAGCUGCAAAACGAAAAUGAGCAGCUGAUCAUUGGGAUGGAUCUGUCAUCUGUUCCUGUAAUCCUGUCCAAGAUCUGGGAGAAUAUGCAAUGUUUAUAGGCAGUAGUACGUGCUUGAACUUGAUGCACGGCUUGGCGAGGGGACGGAAUCUUUUAUCUUUCAUGGAUAGUUGUUUUUUGCUCCUAAGUGCCCCUGUCUGUCAGCGUGUUAUUGGCUGAUUCACGCUGCUCCCGGACAAAAAUUCAGGGCACAUGGUAUCUGCAUGAUUUGCGAAGGAGCACCGGCGGAUGCAUGGCUCGAUACGUCGGCGUUCCACGUAGCUUCUUCCGGCACGUUCGUUGUCGCCACGUUGGAGUCGACGUGCCGACCAAAAGACACAUUAGGUUAACUUCGAUGGGGGGGGGUGGGGGGGGGGGGGGGGGGGUUGCUAGAGCGUGGCCGUGACCGUAGUACGAUUUACCCAUGAAGGCCUUGUUUAGUUCCCAAUCUGGGAGUAGCAAAAUUGGCAUUUUGCCAUAAAUGCGCAACUGUAGCGUUUCGUUUGUAUUUGUGAAUUAUUGUCCAAAUAUUGACUAAUUAGGCUUAAAAGAUUCGUCUCGUAAAGUACAGCAAAACCGUGCAAUUAGUUUUUGAUUUCGUCUACAUUUAGUACUCCAUGCAUGUACCACAAAUUUGAUGUGAUGGAGAAUCUUCUUUUUGCAUAGUGUCAAAGUUGGAAGUUUGGAGGGACUAAACAUGGCCGAAGUCACUCACAGUCACAGUCACAGUCCCAGCUUACAGUCCGGUCCCAGCUUACAGUCCGGCAGAGGGGCCCACGCCAGGUGUACUACGUCCGUGGUAGGAGUAGGACCAGCGCCCGUGCCGCGGUAAACGGAUGCGACGAAGGAGAAGGCCGAGGGGCAGAGCCGGGGAAGGCGGUGAAAUAGAAAUUGGUCGGCCGGCCGGUGGUCCAGGGUCACCGGGAGGCAUGCGGGUUUUUUUUUUUGGCCCCGUAUCCCCGUCCGUUCCGCCGCUGCCUCGGUGGCGCCGGGGCGUGCCGUGCGGCUGCUGGCUCGGCGCAUGUGCGCCCGCCACCUCCGUUGGUCUGGUCCCGUGGCCGCCUGGCAUAGCGACGCGGCAAUGCCCAAUGCCCUCGCCUUCCCGCACGGUUCGCGGUUGGGGAAUGGGAAAAAUGGCAAAAUGGAGUGGUAGUGCACUAGUUCUACUUGCAGCAGUUGGGGAGAGUCCAGACCUUCCCAUGGGCUAUGGCCAUCACUGGCCAACCGCACCACGAUUUCGUUGGCCUGUAAAUGCAGCAGCCACGGCCAAUCCGUGGACGAAUCCGAUCCCGUUAUGCUGCAGCACUUUCCAUCCAAUCCAAGUUUCCAACCCAUAUCCUUCCGAGUUGACCUGUCACUCUGACUUGGUGAGCCCGACAGCUGGUCUUCACUCUUUCACUGUACUACAGCAGCCGCCGCUGAUGCUGAUGCUGCAAUAGUUGGGCCGUCACUGUGCCGCAGGCUCACAGGCUCACAGCAGUACAGCACCGGUCGCACUGAUCCCUGUCCCUGAUCCGUGUGGAGCUCGCAUUUUUUUCUAGAAAAAAAAAAACUUGGAGCUGGCAAUUUACCCUCGAAAGACGAGGAUUCUUAAUGCCAUCUAGACGCCCCUAGCUUUACAGCGCCAGCUCCAGCGGCGGCAGCUUUUGUAUCCGGCAAGCGCUGCCGCGGGAGCCCGGCCGGGACGGCCGCGGCGGGGACCAUGGAUAACGUGGCCGUUUGCGCGACGACGACGCGGAGGUGGAGGUCGAACCGCACGCCGGCCGGAACAGUCUUACCGCGGGCAGUUCGGAUAAGAUCCGCCGGCCGAAAGAAAAGGCGGCCACCGUGCGGCGUGGGGCGCUUUGCGGCUUUGCGCUGUGCCGGCGUGGCGUGUGCGAGCUGUGAGGACUGAGGACUCUGCAGUGUGUUGGCUGGGCUGGCGCGUUCGCUUUACAGCCUCGCCGCAGUUGCGCGCGCACGGGCAACGCCAACGCCGGCCGGCUGCGCCGCUGGGUAGGUUUGGUUUGUGGAGCAGCAAGCAGCGAAGGAAGAGUUGGAGGACGGCCUGGUUGACCUUUCGAUAGCGCGAGCUACCUGCCCCUGCGUUUAGGUGUGUGCCGGGUCCUAACAGCCAAGCCCACUCGGUCGGCCUCGUCGAGCACGAGCACGACAGCAACUCGACACGACUAGCGUACGCGCGCUAGUAUCCAGUAGGUGCCGAACACGUAUGGUACUGUGCGUUUGGCUACCUAGCUGCUUUCCGGUGAUUUUAAAUUCCGCACAUGGACACGGCAUGCACCUUAUCAUACUUUGAGCGCCCGCCCGCUGUACGUGACACGACACGUACAGUAGCGUCGCCGUCGGUGGUAUUAAAGGAAUAAUGUUACGAACUCUAGUUGCUCAUUCAAGCAACCAUGCUGGUGUGUGUACGUAGUACAAAAAUUAGUAAAGAUACUUAUCGUCACGGAUAGGUAGCGUAGGAUGCAAAGCAGCGAUCGAUCGGGAUCGGUUACACUAUUGAGUACUGAUGCCUCUCGAGUCGUCCCAACUGCUCCUUCCUUGGACUAGCUGUACGUACUGCACUAGUAGUUCGUUUUCUGACUCCCGACACACCUAAAACUAAAGCAUUGGGAACCCGGGGAGCUGCGAUACGUACGCUACCCUGGUCGAUCGAAGCGUCGUGUCAAUCCCCUGUCAAGUUCGGUAGAAGCCGCACACACGGAUCGGAAGCGCACCAACAUCACGUGAUAAACGGGACAGCACAGUGACUUGAGCUGACCUUUGCGUAUGUAACCACAUGCUCGUAAUUGAUUACGACGAUGAGAGUACACUGAUCUGCUGCCUGCGUCGUCCCUCCUGUCUCCAGGACGCCGGGGUGGUGGUCUCCUGUGGACGGCGACGCGCACGGCCAGGGCAUGCCUGCCCGUGCUCGCGGGCAGUGUGGGCUAGUCUAGUGGCACCGCGUCGUGCCCGUCCCGUGGCUGCGCCGGCCGGCCGUUGCUUGCUUGCUUCUUGAACGACACACUGCCACAGGACAGGACCGUGGGGUUUGCUGAUUAGCGCGCGUAUUAGGAGGGCCGGCAUCCGUAGCCCGCGACUUUCCUUUUUGAAAAGUUUUAAAUCCCGUACUUUAUAUUUUUGAAAUAUCAUAAGUUGUACGCAUAACUUUAUUUAUAAGAUAAUUUUUUAAGCACAACUUCAAUAACAUACGGAAUGUAUACAACUCUCAUGAUAUACAUCACUUAUACGCAUAACUUAUGAGAGAAUGUUGUUAAAAAAAAUUAUGCACAUAACUUAUACGUAUAUACAAUAUUUUUUAGCACAACUUCAAUAGCAUGCAGAACUUAUACGUACAUCUUUCAUGAUAUAUAUAACUUAUACACGUAACAUUUGACUUUUGAGAAAAAACUAUAUUUACCUGGUAUAGAAAAAAAAUUGAAAAGAAAAGAAAAACCACGCGGGUGCGCGCAACGCGCGGGGCAGCACAUUGGGGAGGGGGUGGGGGGGACCCACCGGCCGCUCGCGUCGCGCCCCGCGGAGCGCUGCAGCGCGCGCGUGCCGGAUUAACAUCGGGCAGGACCGUCCUCCUGCCAAUAUAUACGUGACCACGCGGGGGCGAGUUGGUUGAGCUGUAUUUGUCCAACGCUCCCAACUACACUUUCAUCUUUCUUUUUGUCGCCACAAUAAUACAAUGAUCCACACAAAGCUAUCGUCAUGGUUUAGUAGUAGCAGCAGACUAGCAGUGAUCAUAACAGUUUUCAUGAAAUGGUGGAGUAGUGGCUGCUUGGGAACGCAUUUUGGUCAUGGGGGACAGGAUGGCAGGUCACGGUUCAGAUCGGCGUUUUUUUUUUUUGGGUUCUGUGUGUGUGUGUGUGUUUUCUUUUGGCCCAUGCAUCAGGCACCAGGAAUUCCAUUGAGACCAUGACUAGGUAGGCAGAGCCUCUAUAUAUAGUACUACUAGUUCUUCCGUGCCCAUAUUCCUAUGAUGCAAUAACAUGUAGUGCUAGUAGUGUGAUAAAAACAACUCAAUCUGCCGGGCAAGUCACAUGGCUAUGUGAUAACUAUAUACAUGUUCCAUAUUUUAUUUCCUGGCCGAUUUGGUGCUCGUAGUCUGGUCAGGAAAUUGGCAUGUGAUUGACGUUUGGACCUCGCCCAUGUGGCUUGUUUUUGGCAGGAAAGAGGAAACAAAGCUUCCUUGCGCCCCCCCCCCCCUCCCCCCCCCCCAAAAAAAAAACAAUGUGCUUGGUGUGCGCUCUAAGCACCCGCUUGACGAGCAUUACAAGUUUAAAUUAUCAUCAUACAAUCAAGUCAAUGUUUGUAUCUCAACCCUGGCUGGGUGCAAUUUAAUUACAUUGGACAAGAGUCACGAACUAAGCAGCCGACAACAUUACACCUCUCACAGUCAAAAAGGGUCUCUAUUUCCCUCUCCUCUGCACAAGAGUUAAGAGGGAGCUUCGUUGAUUUAGAUAGUUAAAUUUAAGAUCCUUUCAUGCUUGUGUUACAUCAUGACAAGACCAUCCUUUUGGGCAAAUGGACCAAAACACCCUUCCGGGUCACUGUUGCUCGACAGGCCAUUCUCCUACACGAAUUGGCAUCCUUUUACUAGGCCCUCCAGUGGCGCCUGCUGGACCUCACAAGACGCUCUCAAGAAAAGCAGGGCAUUAGGAAGGUUAGAUGCUAAGCAAGCAUGCAAUUAGGAAAAGAAAGUGCCCGUCUGAGGACGACUCCUUAGCGAGAACACUAUAGCCGCCGCGACACAGAUCUGGCAGGCAUGGGCAGAGGCCAGAGGGGUUAUUGGAGGGAGCUAAUAGCUAGCACUGCAAAGUCCAGUUCCAAGCUGUUGUUAAAAAGGCACUGUUUACCUAAAACCCAAGAAAGGGGCGAAAAUGACGUUAUUAUGUGCAGCAAAUGAAGCGCCUGUUAGAUUUAGGGAGUACAUAAAAUUAAUGGUUGAUGCUUAUGGGCUGUUCAUAUGAAGAAACCGAUUAACUUUGUGAAUUUAAUUUUCUUUUUAUAUGCACACUUAUCAUAAUUGCAGCCGUGCAAGAUAACACCUUUUUAUAUUACAAAGAAAGCAACUAACUGGUGAGUGGUGUGUGUGGUAAUAUGCUGACUUUUUUGUAUUGAUCUUUCUCAUGAGUCGCAUAAGCAAUCAUAAUGCAAAAGACCUGAUAAUUUAAAACUAGUUAUUGCCUAUAUUUAAGAGAUCUUCUAGGACAUCCCGUCUAAGAAUUUUGGAGAUUCAGUACAAAAGUUCCAACAAGAAAACUCACCUAAAAAGGCCACCUUUCCCAUGCUUGCUUUUUCUGUGCCAUCCACGGCUUUUAUCAUUUGCAAAAAGAAAUUUUGCAAACUGGAAUUGUUAUGCGUGGCCAUGUUAAGGUCAUCUCUUUUUUUUCAGAAAAGAAAUUUUUGCUCAUGUCAUUUUUAUAGUUCACAAGAUAUACACCAAAGCUUUUGUUAAGGGUAGUUCUGGUGGGUCAUCCAUCAAGGGAAAGGUUGGGUUGUGAUUAAUGAUUAUAUAUUUAUAUACCCUCAAUAAUUGUGACGUUUAAUCUAAGUAAACUGAGACCGGCUCAGGAAUUGAGAUCGCAAGUAGCCAUCAGGACCAGACCGCCACAUAUGUAGUGCAUGCGGUGCGAGCCAUGAGGUGGACUCGUGGCAUCGCCAUCGAUCCAAUCGUGACCCCCUUUCGAUCGGAGCGUCCAACCCAACCAUAAAUCCCGCUCGCUAAUCAGUCCACUAUUCGGUUAGAAUCGUGCAUGGUGGAUGACAAAACCUUUUUCGAUGCUUACAAGGUGUUAAUUUUUUCACAUAUAUAGCAUUAUCUUGGUGUUAUUUGUUUUCCGGAAAAAAAAUUAGGUAAAGAUUUUGUAAUAAAUGGAGUGCUUGCAUUAAAUUUUGCAGUAAUAUACCAAUUCUGAAAUGGAGAGUGAAUAUACAAUGUCAUCGUUUCUCUUUUGUAGAGAAUUUUGAACAUGAUUUGUCACUUAGCUUCUUUAUUUUCAAUCCUUAAAUAAAUAUAAAUUGUAUUUUUGUCCCUCUCCAGAAUUAAUGAAUUAGGUUGAGAUCACUGCAAUAACGAAUUCCAUCGAGCACAUGGUGCAAAAGCAAUUUGGUACGGAGUUCGUAUUGGUACAGGUACAUGAGCAAACACCUAACGAAGCAAUGUAAGCAUAGACAAAUGUCCGUUUCAAUUCCAUCAAUAGCGCCCUAAAGUAAGGUACUGGUACUGGCAGAUGAUCGCAGUUUAGCUAACCUACUCAAGCCUUUCAGCUCCCGUAAUACUUGUUCAUAUACAAAACCCACCUUUUGAGUUAAUUUUACAAUCUAUUUUUUCUCUGAACCAAUUUUCUCCUCUCAUCCACAGCUAUGUAGACCAUUUUUUCAUGACAUUUCUAGUGGAUUAAAUUAAAUUAAUUUUCAUAAUUGCAACUCUCUCCCGUUACGUUUGCAUCUCCUUCAACUUUUGUUACAGUAUAGCUAAAACAGUAAGAUUGAGAAGCAGGGAAUCUCCAUUAGUAGUUUUGCUUCAAACAUCUGCACACGUGUCGCUUUCCAACCUAAUAAGUAGUAGUAAAUUGGUAAGAUAAAAACAACCUUUUUCAUUUUUUUUGUUCGCUUCUCAUUAUGUACUACCCUUUGUCAAAUUCUAUAGCUACCAACUCAAGAAAGAACUGUUUCUUUCCUCAACAACCCCUGUGACCAAAUUCAUGGUUUUUUCACAUGCUACCCCACCCAGAAACUGUUGUUCCGAAAUGGCACUGUCGCUCUCCCUCCAAUAGAAAUGUUUUAAGAAUCCUUUCUAUGGAAAAGCGAAAACAAAAGAAAAGAAGAAAAGGUUACGCCGGCCAGCCUCACCCUCCCCUGGGAGGCUGGGACCGCGUCACGGCCACACCAGAGGAGGGGAGAGGCCACACCCACACAGCCGCAGGCCAGAAGAAUCAGCAGCAGAGCAGCGAGCUGCCCAAGCAAAGAUCCCCAAAACCAAAGCAAAGAUACAAAAACGAGUAAAACAACUGCAAAAGAAAAAAAAACUAAAAAAAAGUCAGGCAAAAUCCCCACUUCACUCCUCCCCUGCCUCUCCUCUACCUCAAACUGUAACACUGCCUCACCAGUUCGCUGCUGCUCCCCGACCUCGCAGGCGCGUCGAUCCGGAGGGCGCCCGCCGCCGCCUGCGGGAGCGGAGGCCCGGGCAGGAGCGGAAGCGUGGGCGGCGAAUCUGGAGCCCGGGGGACCUGCAUUGCCGCGGGGCCGCCGCGCGUAGCCAGAUCUCCCUCCCCCACCUGCCGCGGCACCGGCACGGCAUGGUGGCUGCCGCGGCGGCGGCCACCGCGCCAGAUCCGGCCCACCCCGCGCGCCCGCCGCUCACGCCGGCGCUCGACAAGCCCAACUCCGCCGCCGCGCGGAGGAACUCGCGCUCCAACAAGCCCGUCUCCUCCAGGUACCUGUCCGCCGGCGCCGCCGCCGCCGCCGCGUCCCCGGCCUCCUCCACGUCGUCCUCCACGUCUUCGUCCUCCUCGUCCUCGUCCCGGCGCUCCCUGUCGGCGCAGCGCACCCGAGCGUCCACUCCGCCGCCGCAGCACUCCACGUCGCCCACCACCACCGCGUCGGCAGCGGCCGCGGCCGCGGCGGCGACAGCUACCGCGACCACGAUGCGGAGCCUCUCGGUGUCGUUCCAGGGGGAGUCCUUCUUCUACAAGACGUCGCGCGCGCCGCGGGCCUCGUCGCCGUCCUCACCCGCUGCGCGGCGCGGGCCCACGCCGGAGCGCCGGAAGAGCGUGUCCUCCGUGCCGGAGGCCGAGAACGCGCGGCCGCAGGGCCGAUGGCCCGCGGCCAAGCCCAAGGCAUCGGACCCGCUCGCUCGCAGCCUCGACUGCAGCCUCGACCGCAAGGACUCCAUCCUCGCCGCCGUUCACCUGCUCCGCCGCUCUAUGGCCUUCGACUCCACCACAUCGCUCUCCCCGUCCGACCCGGCAGCUGCAGCAGCUCCAGACCUGUCCGCGUCCUCCGAUACAGACAGCGUCUCGUCUGGAAGCAACUCGGGCGCCGGUGAUCCCCCGCGCCGCGGCAUCAGCGUGCCGGCAAGGUUCUGGCAGGAAACCAACAGCCGCCUGCGCCGCCUUCCAGAGCCUGGGCUGCCACUACCAUCGUCUGGCCGGAGGUCGUUCUCAGACAGUCCAAUGUCGCCAAGGCUGCCGGGUCGGUCCCCAUCUCCAUGCCGUGGAAGCAGGGGCGCCGCGAGUCCAUCAAGAGGGCGUGGUGGGGAAGCAUCGCCAAAUGGGCAUAUGAUGCAAGCUCCAGCAAAUGCGCCAUCUAUCAUCAGCUUUGCUGCGGAGGUGAGGAGGGCGAAGAAGGGAGAGAACAGAAUCGAGGAAGCACACAGGCUGCGGCUGCUGGACAACCGGCAUUUGCAGUGGCGGUGCAUCAAUGCACGGACAGACGCAUCACUUCUGGUGCAGAGCUUCACUGCCGAGGUAAAUCAAACCUUGAUAUUGGUGUUAGGUUUACCUAUGCAUUUCACUCCUGCAUCUAGUGUUCUAGUACAGUUAAUAAAAUCAUUUUCGUGUGUUUGGGGCUUAAAUAUUGCAAAUCUGUGACACGUCCAAGGUAUCGAUGAUCUGCAAUCUUACAUUCUGUUUCUUAUUUGUUAGUUUGGGUGCUUUCUUGAUAUGAUUUUUUAGGAUAGAGUAUUCAAUAUAUCACAUGGAUAAGAUUGGCAACGGUAAACAAUGCAAAUUUUCUUUAUUUUCCUCUUUUGGAGCCUGAGAAGAAAGUUGAAAGUUAUGGACCACUAAGAUUGAGCAUUUCUUGAUACUGCAUACAGUUAUUGCAUUGGAAAAUUGGGGUGAAUUAUGUUGCAAGUCUGCACUUAAAUAGAACAAAGGAGUUACCAACAGCUUGUUUAUUGAUUUGCCAAAAAUGGAUUUUGGCAACACUAGAUGGUGAACGAUCAUAAAUGGGAACUGCCAACUAUAAAUGCACCAACUAUCAUGCACAAGGUCCUGCAAUUUGCUGUACGUGAAAAAUAGCAAGGAUAAAGUGGCAUCUUUGGGUUUUUAGCAAGAAAAUGUAAAUUAUGGUGUCAUCUAGAUACGCAUAUAUAGAGUCUAUACCUCUAGACUUAGAUUACAUCAACUAGAACGAAAAUGCAAUAUCUGGUCAUGUCCAUGCUUUUCCUCUUUAUUGAUUUGUGUGAACCCAAACAUUCCAAUGUGCCACUUUGAUUUGCCACUAGAACAAUCCCUAGUUGAUUGUUUGAUGCUAGGGAAGCCAUUGGUAGGUGGGAAGAGAUUAUACCGAGUCAGAAUUUGUAAUGUUUCAUUUCAUAUGCCAGUCCAUACUAUUGUUGAUACAAACAUUUGGCAAUUGUCUGGAUAACUUGGCAUCUAGAAUAAAAGAAAAGAUCUUCCGGACCAACUUAUUGAAUAAUGGUAUUGAUGGCACUAUCCAUGACACAACCCAGCAAUCUAUUUGUGAUAUGUGUCUUGUGAGUAUUUGCAAUUUUGCAUGAUCUGAGUCUUAUUAUAGUGCUUCGUGGUAUAUUGGCCAAAUCUAUGCAAGUCUAGCCACCUUGAACCCCUCUGUUGUGCGCAGUGUGCUUAUGAUUCAAAGAUUUGCUAGAUUGAAUUGUCGUUUAAGUCUGGUGGUGAAACACAGUGAUAUUUAAGUACAAAAGAACUUGUUUAAGAUAUGUGGGGUUUCUUAUUUCUCAUUGCAUUACAGACUUCAAAUGUACAACUAAUCCUGGUCAAAGUGGAUUAAACAAAUAUGAUAAUGCUGUGUAAGAGAAUCAGAAAAAGGGUCAAAUGUUCUGAACAGUUUCUUAUUCCCCUCUUCUUCAGAAAACCCUUCACAGCGCAUGGAAAGAAAUAUCAAGAUUACGUGACAAUGUCAGUUCCAAAAGAUGCAGACUCCAACUCCAGAAACAAAAACUUAAAUUGUUUGCUAUUCUUAGGGGUCAGGUAAGUGAUACGAUGCAUUUGCUAUUUAACAUAUUUAUGUGGCUUGCACUAGGAUUUCUUGUUGCUGGUUGGCUUUGUAUAAUUAAUGUAUCUAUGCCAUUUGACAUGUUCAGAUGUCGUAUCUAGAGGACUGGUCUCAUAUAGAAAAACAUCAUUCAAGUGCUUUAUCAGCAGCAAUUAAAGCACUGAAGGCUAGUACUCUUCGUCUUCCGGUUGUUGAUGGUGCAAAGGUUGGCAAUUGUCUAAGCAGGUCUAGCUAUGUGGCUUGAUUUGAUAUGCACAAAAUAAUAGUCACCUAUCUCUGUGCAGGGUGAUGUGCAAGGUGUGAAGGAAGCUGUUAACUCAGCUGUGGAUGUAAUGCACACAAUGACAUCCUCGAUAUGUAAUCUGCUGUCUAAGGUAUGUAUAUAUACCCUGUCUUCCUACAGAGCUGCAAUUUAUAUUUCUUUUCCCCUUGGAUUUUCUUUUUAUCAUGAUACAUCAAUAACAAAAAAUCGUCAAUCCCAAAUUGGAAGAUGCUUCCAAAUAAAAUUUUGGUGCAUGGCUAUGUCUUCAAACAGAAAUUUGUAUUUAUUACAAGCAUUAUGGCUCUGCUGUACAAAAUAACUAUGAGGACAAUGUUUUUUUCCUUUCAAUAGCCAGUGCUAUUUCUUCUCUACUGAAUACUAUGUAACAUAGCUGUGUUGAAUGUUCUAAUUCCUUUACCAUCUUGAGAUGGGCUGUAUAUCUUGAUCUAUGUUGUACCAUCCGAAGUUUACAAUUUCAAAUUAGACAAGGGUGGUGUUGGCAUUUUAAGAAAACAAAAAGCGCAAGAACAUGGACAUUGUUCUAAGCGAACAUUUUUUCCAUGUAGAUUUAAUGAAGGAAAAUUUUCCUAGACAUGUUCAAAUAUGAUACUGUUGUUUUCUGGUAAAAUAGUUAGCUUACACUGGUUACCCACUAGACAAUUAGUAUCUUGGAAUAUUUGGCAAUAUAUUGGACUGCAUGCCUGUGGAUUUAGUGAGAGAUACAAGAUUUGCAUUGGAACCAUAGCAUCUCAUAGUGAACUUUUUGUAUCAUCUCGUUGAGUCAAAAUAUGAUAACUAGCAACCAUGGAUUGUUUGCCUGUUCUGCUGGCGAUGCAACUUAUUGCUCCAUGAACUCAGUGUUACAUGUAAUUUAUUCCUUCAUGAACAUGCAUUACAUUUUAUGUCAGAUAUUUACCGGGGAAGUCUCUGAAUGAUAUAUUUAUUCAUCUUCAGGUUGAGGGAACAAGCUCUGUAGUGUCUGAGCUUGCUAAACUCGCCACACAAGAACAAAUGUUGUUGGACCAAUCGAAGGAUCUCUUGUCCACGGUUGCAGCAAUACAUGUAGGGACAUCUUCUAUAUAUGCUCUUUUUACUCAAUUAUUCUGUUACUCAAUUUUAUUUAGUUCACCUUGUUAAUUAUCUGAUUUGGAAAACAGGUCAAGAAGUGUAGUUUGCAAGCCCACAUGCUGCAACGAAACCAAAAGCAGUGCCCGACACACUUGUAGAUCAGUUUGCCUCGCCACGUUGGGUGGUCACUAACAUCACACGGCCUCGCCUUUUCUCACCGGAGACUGUGCUACAGGUAAUAAAAAAGAUGUAACCAUUUGUUGGGUGUGAAGCGUGUCCUAAUCUGCUCGAUCGACCUCACCGAGUGUAGCUGAUUCAUGUAAUUUUUUUUGAGUGCAUAUCAACCCAUAGAAGCGGCCCCCUCUUUACCUGCAGUCGCCGCAGCUGGUGUAUACAGAAAUCUCUAGCCUUGACCCAAAGAUAAGCUUUCCUGUAGAUAUGAAAAAAAGCUUGUCGUUUGCGUGCUUAACUCUUGCGUGUGGAGUGCUCGAGUGGUGAUGAGUGUUUGUAUUGUGAAAGGGAGACAUUUUGUUGGCUUGAUACAGGGUGUUUUCAUGGCAAAAUUAACACGGAGGUUGUUUAUCCUGACUUGCCUAUGGAGUCAUGGUAUCCGCUCUGAGCCUCUGAUGCAUCCUGAUUCUUGAAAGAAUGGAAAUAACUAACUCUACAUUUUCCACAUUUUCCUAGCUCCACUCCACCAACUUCAGAAAAAUAUGGAGCUGUUGCAUGUGUUUAGCUGGUGGAAGUGUUCUAGCUUAAAAACAUAAGCACUUAUUAUAAAAAAUGCUUAUAAAAAAAAUCUAUUUUACCUUUUGUGAACGAUCUCACAUAUCUGUCUAUCUGUCUCUUUUCCUUCCUCCCCUUUCCCCUCUCGCCAUGUCAACUAGAAAAUUAACUUUCAUUUCCCAUCACAAUCUUGUAGGAUCAGAUCAGCAAACCAAAUCAAACACGGCCUCUCACCACUGAACUAUACUAAUUUAGUAGCUGGACUAAUAAUACCGCAACCGAUGGAAAAAUUGGUGGCACUUGUGCCGAAGAAAUGGCAGAUCAGAUUUGAUGGAUCAACCAAAAAUUUACAGGGGGCCUGCCCGGCACGGCCAUCGUUCAUCAGAUCAUCAUCAUGCAUAUCAAGAACCGGAGUCUUACAGGCGGCGCGCGGGGAGAAGUAGACCCAGCUCGUGGGCGCCACGUCGCCGCCGCCCCCGCCGAGCUGCGGCCGCUCCUUCUUGUGCGCGUUCUGGUGGCCGCCCAGCGCCUGCAAGUUGACGAACUCGCGGCAGCAGUACUGGCACUUGUAGUGACGGCGGAGGUUCUUCGGUUCCCAAAAACAUGAGCCCGAAGGCCAUGGCCCGACGGGGGCGGCGCGAUGGCGCGGAGGAGGUCGGGAGCGCGAGGAACAAGAUGAAUCUGAGUCUCAGCAAAAUAGAAACUAAGGGGUAAGUUGUGUAACCAGUGGUAAUAGUGGUUACAUACCACCAACUCCAGGAGGAGGUCUGAAAAGGGGUUUUUGAAGCACCACUUGAGAUACUCCAAAAAAUUAUGGAUAUGCCCCCUUGCUCCACGUUUUUCUUGAAGCCGGAGUUACUGGAGUUAGACGCGUUUGGCUGCGAAAUUUUUGGAGUUGGUGGAGUGGAGCAAUUUUUUCUAGAGUGGAGUGCUCCAAACAGACCCUUAGCGUUGUAAAGGUUCUGCUUGUUACGAUGACCAUCAGACGUAUGUGUUGCAGCGUUGGUCCCGAGUUUUAGGGCAGUGGUUGCUGCAGCCUGUUUUCAGUAUUGUGCUGUGCUGUAGAAACAUGCAUUUUUCGUAUGUACAUAUGAACAUUUGAGUUAUUCAAACUAUUUAUUUUGAAUCAAUGGUAAGAUGGAUCAUGGGUAGGUGAGAAGUACAUAGGUAGUUAGUGGAUUAAAUAGUUGGAUGGAGAGAAAUUAACGGUUGAGAUAAAGUCAGUUUGCAUGUACAUGUGGUUUUGCAUUUUUCAUGUGCUGUGAUGUGGCCGACCCGGUUGGAUGCAACGAGGUGAAAUGCAAUUGAAGUUUUCUUUAGAAGAAAUGGCCUAUUCACGAUUCAUGAAGAACGCUGUAGCAUUUUAAGAUUGGGAGGUCCUAUUCAAAUGUUCGAAGAAAGGUCCAGUGGGCGUCCGUUCGGCGCCCCGUCACGUCGCCGUGACAUCGUCGGCAUCGAAGCCGACGCGGCCGAAACCAACUCGCCACCUCGUUACCUUAACCAGCUACACACACACAGCCACAGGUACCGACCGCCACCGGCCCGAGAGCGACGCGAGCCCACGGGGCGGCGCUAGACUGCUGCUAGGAGGCUAGGAGCCGCUGCUGCAGCGUCGCAUCGCAUCGUGCUCGCCCACAAACAUGACCAAGAUUCAAGGUCGCCGCCCCCCGCACCCAGCAUAUCCAUGGCGUCGGUCGCGCGUCCGUCCGCCGACGAGGAAACUCCGUCGGGCCGCUCUCCCACGGGCCGUCGGCUCGUUAGCUUAGAAAAGCCCAACAUCCUUGCUGGCUUAAAGAAAGGCCCAGCUCUAGGUCGGAACAGCAGCCCAGCAAAGUCGAGCCCAACCCUUUGCUGGCUUGCUCUGUCUGUCUGAGACUGCUGAAUCUUUUUGGGACUGAAGACCAGUUUUGGACUUGAAUCCGAGAAAAGGACAUGUGGUGCGUCGCCGUACGACGAACACGCACGAUCCUGCUAUGGCAAUCUACAUCAGUUCAAACUGUUGAUUGCCUUUUCUCUCCAACAAGACAACAGCUGAAUGCUUUUGCUGUUUUGCACUUGAUUACGGUUAAGCGUUCUGCCCAUCUUUUUGACGUUGCAAGGCCUUUAUCAAGUCGUCUCCUUCCCUUUUCGCAAAUUAAGUGGCCUUUCUGGCAGACAGCACUACUGCAGCAAUGUGUUCCCAUGGGCCAUGGCAACUCACGCGAGCCAGUCAAACAAAGUACAGCCGAGGUAGCCUAUCACUCGUCAGCCCACUCUCCCAACCUCUCGCAGUUCGUUCAUUCGAGCAGCCAGGCGCUCAGUUUUCCAAGCAGGCUAGCCGAAGUCCGCGGCUUCAAUCAUGAUGAGCCAUCUCCUUGGCCCAUAGCAGACUUUGAUCAGCCCACUCGAUGAGAGUUCUGACUUCUGAGACUGCGGCUGGAGUGCUGGGUCACUAGCAGGAUCGCUAAAAACUGAAAAGGUGGGGCGCAAACGUCUGAACGAAACCAUAAAUGUGGACGUGGACUUCGGCCUCGCGCACUUUGUUGACCCAGCACUAGUCAAUCAGUUGUCACGCCUUCAAAGAUCUGAUCCGCUGCUGUUCCACGAAAUUGCCAGAGAUUCAGAGUGCAUGGUACCGAACGGUCGUGUCCCCCUGAGGUCUGAACUUUGCAUACGCGUUGACCUGAGCUGAGCAUUGCGGUAAGCAGAGACUGGGAAAUGCUCCCAGUGAAAACUUGGCCUCCCUCCUCCCGGUCCCAUGCACCGACGACUUCGCGCGUCCAGCUUUUGCCAUUUGAAACCAUACCUGAAUCCUAGAUUUUCUAUGUUCAAAAUAAAAGUGGACUUGCUUCUUCUGUCAGUUGAUUGUGCUAGCGGCCCUGAGGUAUCUGGUUUUCGUUUUGUCCAGGGGAAGGAAGAUAACAGAACGUCAGAACGCACGGCGAGCCCAUGCAUUCCAUCGAUCAUGGCAGCGCCCGAGCAGUUGGAGGGCCUGGCCGACGACGAAGCCUCCGAUGCGGAGGUUGUUUCUUCGAUCGACAGCAACGCGCGUACGCGUUCAGUUAUGUAGUUCUGUUGCUGCAACGGACCGGUGACGCGGGUGACAAUCUGGAAAGCGCCGGAGCGGUUGCAUGGUCGGCGAGUUGAGCUCACGCCUUACCAAACUGCUCUGCUCACGGCAAGCAUAACGCCUUUCACCUGGGGAUCAUGGAGGAAAAGAGGACCUUGAACGGUCUCUGGUUGCAGUGAAGAAGCUUACGUAGCUGCGUACAGUAUGGUACAACACAAAUGAUGCCUCAUCUCGUGGGAAACUGCAGCGAAGCAGCUGGUACCGGUAGCAGCAGCAAGCAUGCCUUCCCACUGCACGUUCCAUCAAGUGUCAAGGACGUCCAUCAGCUUGGAUCCCACUGGUACGAUGAAGUAUGAACUCAUGAUUCAUGAUUCAAGCAUGGGUUGCAUGCAAUCAGCAAGCGGACACUUUCCGGCGGCCUUUUGUUAACUCGGUCCCCGCCUCCCCGUCGACGUUUACUUUGACAUGGCUGCCUCUGCGGCGCACUGCUGCACUGGCAUAGGCGCAUAGCUGCACCUGUACAACAUGAUCGUCGUGCGGGCGCCGUGCGUGGCAUGCGGUCCAUGGCGACCCUGACCACAGACCGUCUGGCCAUGGCCAUGGCUGUCGAACUAGCAAGCGUGAGGAAUGUAUGGUGCUCGGGAGUCGGGAGUUACUCGCUCCGUUUCGUAAAGAAUAUUCAUUUAGUUUUGUUCUAAGUCAAAUCAUAUUAUGUUUGAUCAAAUUUAUAUAAAAAUAUAUCAGUGCUUUUGAUGUCUAGCAAGUUUCAUUAAAUUUGUUAUGAAAUAUAUUUUUAUAUCAUACCUGUUUGGUGUUUAUCGUAAACUUAAUCAAACUUAAAACAGUUUGACUUAGAACAAAUCUAAAUGGACAUUCUUUACCGGACGGAGGGGUAGGUAGCACCUUGGCGCGCGCUGCUACGUCUCUAACCCAUUUCGUGUUUCGUCACCUUGCACACGUCAUCAGGAGUGGCAUGCACUUUCGUUCGAGUUUUGAUGCCGCCUCUAGAUCCAUCAGUCACGCCCACGCAGCCACAGGCAGCUUGUUAAUUCAACCUACUACUUAUACAUUAUCCAAUUAGUAUCAGCCCGGCGGCGAUGCAUGGUAAUGGUGCGCGCCGCGGCCAGCGAGUGAUCGCCGUCGGCGCGCCCACAUGUCGCGCGCGCACAUCCAGACAUCCUCACGGGCUCACGGCCGCGCACCGCGGGGGGACGGGGGGGCCCGCGCCGUGGCCGGGCGCUGUCCGGGGACGGCGACGCGGCGGAGCUCUGGUCUGCCACUUCUGCCCGCGGGGCCGGCGUCGCUGUCGGCCCGAUCGCCACCGCCGCCGUCCUCCUCACGCGCGUCCACGUCGGAACGUACAACACGUAAGGCCCCGCCCUGCUCGCUUCCCCGGCCGCUAGGGCAGAGCAUAGAUUCGCAUUCGCCGUCGGAUGUGCAUGCGUGCGUGGUUAAUUAAUGUCUCUGCUAUCGCCCCCCUGAUUUUCCCCGUCCCUUUCCCCCCCUCGAUAUCUGCCGAUCGAACAGUUGGGGCCGCGAAGAGAGCAGCUGCGCAGGUGCUGUGGUGGCCCGGUUGCCUUCCGCCGCCGCCCGUCCGCGCGCCCCAUACCGCCCGAUACCGGGUCAGUUCCUGUCGACCGUCACGCACGUACGUGACGGCCCGACGGGCCCCCACCUUAACUGCGCUACGCGACGGUUGACGCUACCCGCCUACCCGGGCGCCCACCACCACAGGUCCGGGGGCUAGUCUCGCGUCGCGUCCUCACCCACCUGCCGGCUGCCGCCAUCUCGCAGCCCGUUACCUGAAACGGCGGCCGGUGAGGCGGCGCUGCGCCCGCCUUUGCCGUUUCAGGUUUCAUCUCUUGCUAUGCCCGCCAGCCAGCGUCGCUCUGGCUUCAGGUUCAGGGUCAAACCAGCACGCCCUCAUGCUACGUUACCUUCGUGCGUAGAGUUUUGCAGAACUGUCGGUUGUUCGAGCACUGAUCGCAACGAAAUGCCAGCCCAGACUCGCAACAACACAUCGGGGAACGAGGAAACGCCCCGCGGCAACACAUUGAAGAAUGAGGUCUCUGGUGUAAAAACCAAGCCCAUGAAUCAUGCCAUCGGCUCCGAGUCCAUAUCACGUGAAAAGAUCCCGACAGUGCACACGCCGCCAGCCGCGAAACUGAAUCCAACCACAGAGCCAGCCAGCUCCGCGCUACGGGACGCCGCCCACCUUUCCACUUGUAAUAAAGCUGGCCUCCUUUUUUUUGAGCUCCCCAGGGCGGAAUGCGUUAUCCGAACCGGGCGUACGGCCACCAAACAGUUGGCAAAGCGGUCACGAUCGCCCACCAGGUCCGGCCGGUCCCAGGCGCGCGCGCGCGCUGCUAGCACCUACUCGCAGCUAGCGUCCAGCCAGAAAACGAGCCCGGCCACGGCGCUCGGUCCGAUCCGCGCCACACACGACGCCGCCGAGCCGAUCGGGCGCGGACGGGGACAGGCGGACCGGACGGGGCCCGACCGGCAGCCAACGGGCAUCGGGUGGGCGCCGGGCGGACACGCGCCGGGCGCUGCCGCGGCAGCGAACCAGGAGGCGAAAACGCGAGAUCGGCGAGCCCCCCAGGGCAUGCGAAAACGCAUCGGAUUCGGCCCCUAGCUUCCCGCGGCAGGCAGCCGCCACUUGCCCCGGGCGCCGCACAUGUCCUUUCGCCCAGUGGCACGUACGAACUAGAACUAGCGUCGCGGGACGCUGCUGGAUCGGAGUAGUGGCGGCGCUAGAGAGGAGGGAGAGGCAGCGCCGCAGCGGAUAGGGAUGUCGCCCAAAUUAUUGCCUCGUGGCAAUCCCGGUCUGUUUCGAGUUUCGGCCGGUAGCUAGCGUCGAGGAUGCCUCCAUCCAUCUUCAAAGCCGUCAGCCGUCACCCUGUGCGGCUGUAUCCGUGUGUCAUGUGACUGAGCUUACAUUUCUUCUCCAUCUUCUUCUUACUAUGAAGACGCGCAGCUUUCCCACAUGUUCCGGAAGAAGAAGAAGAAGAUCCAUCGAUUUAGAGGGGUUCAGGUCUGAGAAGACCUCGUUUGGUAUGCUGUUCAGAGGGAUGAGGAGAAACGGGGCAGUAGCCGGUAGCCGGUCAAGGGGGUCAAGCAUCGUUAGCAUUCAGCAAGUAUAUAGUGUGGGCAGUGAUUUCUUGGUCGGUCUGCAAGCACGUCCCGCAUUCUGUUGAGUUAGCUAAGAAGGAAAAGUCAGUCCUCUAAUCUGGCUGGUCCAACUCAACAGAGACAAAUCGAGUCAAACAAGUUCCUUCUUUGACAGAAGAAAACAAAUGAAACGCCUGUCAGAGAUUGUCCUACUACGCAGCUCCUUGUCUGACCAUGCUUGCACCGGGACAAACUCGAUCACAAAACAAAUAUACAGGGGUAACAGGGCUAAUCGCUGUCAGAGGAUCUAUACAGGUAAUAACAACUUGGAUGCUUCAACAGCUUGGCAAGCAAAAAAACAAUCCUAAACCUGUUACCCUGAUAAGGUUAACAAUCAGAGAGUUGCUUUGCGCCUGCGCCUCAUGGAGCCAAUAUAGCCAAUCCGGGACACGGUCCAUGCAUAUGCGUUGCCCGACACGGAAGAAAUCCACUACCGUGGCAUUGACAACGUACGUCACAGUAAAAGUAAAGCCGACCGUUGCAGGUGCCGUAACGACACGCUAAUCCCCGGGGCCGAGAGCUUUCGCGAUCACUACGCGCUGCGCAGCAAGCGGCUAGCGAGCUUUACGCCGAAGGACGCCGGAGAGAGCAAGAACGUGAAGCGAGGAAAGCGAGCCAGAUGACCACGAGAGAGGCGGCGAUGGUUUAGCAAUUAGCCCACUGGUGGCGCCACUAGGCCAAGAUUUAAGCGGCACGUAAUGCGCAGUUAAUCCCGCGCGCCAAUCAUAUGCUCCACCUCCGCCACUCCCGCCCGCACCGGGGGCGUCCACCAAUUAAUUACCGCACCCAUCAUCGCCGGCCGGCGGCAAAUCCAGCAACGGCUAACGAUCAUCUCACGGAUCAGGCCGCCCGGCCGCAUGCCCUUUUGCUUUCCUCGCUUGCUCGUCAUAGGCUUCUCAUGCGCCCUUUUGGUUUUGCUUUUGCUUUGCUUUGCUUUGAUCGACCUGCCCUGCCCCACACGUGAUUCAGGAGAGCCAUCGAGCGAUUAAAAGAGGGCCCGGCACGGGGCACUGGGGCUGCGCAUAUGCGUGAGGGGGUGGGUUACCAUUUGAACCGCCGGGAGACCUGAACGGCCGGCUCGUAUGGAUGGGAGAUUAGAAGGCAGGGGCCAGUGUCGCAGGAGUAGCCUUUCCUUUUCUCGCCUGCGUGGGGCUGCCUAUAUAUAUACGGUGCUACAUGCGUAGGAUCGGAGUAUGCAGUAUCCCUCGCUCAAUCCCGGCUGCCGAUGAGCUCGAGAGGGUAGUGCAACUAGCUAGCUAGAGCUCUAGUGGCUUCAUCAUACGGCUGGAGUAGAAGACGCGAUCGGUCGUCGGUGCCAUGACCAUGACCAUGACCAUGAGAGACGAGGAGGAGGAGGAGGAGCAAGGGGUGGUGAUCCGGAGCUACAACCCCAAGACGGACCAAGCCGGCACGGAGGCCGUCGACAGGGAGUGCGAGGUCGGCCCGGCCGGCGGGAUGUCCCUGCACGCCGACCUCCUCGGCGACCCCGUCGCGCGCAUCCGCCACUCGCCGCACCACCUCAUGCUGGUACGUGGUGUACCGUACGUGUGUGUGUGUACGUAUAGGUAUACGCGGCAGGUAAUGCGCGGCCGGAUACUAUGAUUGCGCUGCACACAGUUGCACGUAGCUAUUUGUGGGGCGAUAGCCGCUGAUUGUUCGGGCCUUCAACUCUCGCUGCUGGUAGUGGGUUGCUUUUUUCCAGCGCGUUAGUUUCAUCGAUCUCGACAUGGCAGGUAGCUGAGACGUCCGGGCCGGGCAGCCGGAUCGUCGGCCUCAUCCGCGGCACCGUCAAGUCCGUCGCCACCGGCAAGGCCUGCCCUCAGGGCGAACCCGCCUUCGCCAACGUCGGGUACAUUCUCGGCCUCCGCGUCGCGCCCUCCCACAGGUAAUCCUAGUUGUUUCAGUGUCAUCAUUCAUCAAGCUCUGUCCUCUCUGCUCUAUGUUCGCGACACUUGUCGACAUUGUAGCAUCCAUCGUUCGAUCACUCAUCAUUGCUGUUGCGUUGUCAAGAGAGCAAGCUAAUUGGUUUGGCGUUUGUUCACGUACGUGCAGGCGGAUGGGCAUCGCGCGGCUGUUGGUGCGGCAGCUGGAGCGGUGGUUCGAGGUCAUGGGCGCCGAGUACGCGUACAUGGCCACCGACAAGUCCAACGAGGCGUCGCUGCGCCUCUUCACCGGCCGCUGCGGCUACUCCAAGUUCCGGACGCCGUCGCUCCUUGUGCACCCCGUGCACUCGCACCGCCUCAGGGCGCCGCGCCGCGCCACGGUCGUGCGUCUGGGCGCCUGCGACGCCGAGCGGCUCUACCGCAGCCGGUUCGCGAACGUGGAGUUCUUCCCCGCGGACAUCGGCGCCGUCCUCGACAACCAGCUCUCCCGGGGCACGUUCCUGGCGAUCGUCGACGGGGGCGGCUACGAGUGGCGCGGGGUGGAGGACUUCCUGUCCUCGCCGCCGGCGUCGUGGGCGGUGGCGAGCGCGUGGGACUGCGGCGGCGUGUUCCGCCUCGAGGUCCGCGGCGCGUCCCGUCUCCGCCGCGGCGCCGCGGCCGCCACCCGCGCGCUGGACCGCGUGGCCAAGUGGCUCCGCGUCCCGUCCGUGCCGGACUUCUUCCGCCCGUUCGCCGGGUGGUUCGUGUACGGCCUCGGCGGCGACGGCGGCGACGCCGCGGUGGCCGCGGAGGCGCUGUUCGCGUCGAUCGUCAACAUGGCGCGCGGCGCCGCGGCCGCCGUGGCCUUGGAGGUGGCGGCCAUGGACCCGCUCCGCUCCCGCAUCCCGCACUGGCGCCGCCUGUCCUGCGCCGAGGACCUGUGGUGCAUGAAGCGCCUCGGCGGCGGCGGCGGCCACGCGGAUGGAUGGGAUUGGUCCAGGUCGGUCCCUGGUAGCUCCAUCUUCGUGGACCCCAGGGAGGUUUGAGUGUGACUCAGCCGGCGUCCGCUUGCAAGCAGAGCUUUUGUGCUCUGUUUUUUUGCCACUGGAUUUCAGUUUUGAUCUUUUUUCUUUUCCGCCUUCAAAUUUUGCCACCUCGUGUCUAUAGUUGUAGUUUUGGAAGGCGGAGAUUUCGUCGGAUGACUAUCUUUUUGUAGGAUCAGCAAUCGAUCGUGUAGAUACAUUCUCGUCCUUUUCCGGCCUGUCUUCUCUGCAUUUUUUUUUGCACCGUGACAAGUGUGCGGUCGCGAGGGAUCGUUUCAAUCCAGCCACGAGUAUCAUUGAGGGCAUCAACCGAUGAAUGCCUCUGCAACCACCGAUGAGUAUAUGUUCCUGACUCACGUCCGCGUCCGUGUCGCCCCCAUGCCUUUCGAGCCGUCGCUGCUGCGAUCCACCGGUGAUGGUGCUGCACUCCUGCUGUGAUGAUGACGAUCAUGAGCGAAUCGAUGCGUGAUAUAAUGGCUGAUGGCGCUCGAGCUGACACCUAGCGUCCGUCGUCGUCCUCCGCCCUUUUGCUGGCCAUCGCCAUGGCUGCCCUACGUUUUGUGUUGUGCACUGUGCAGCGCAGCAGCGGUGUGGGAGAGUAGGCGCAUGUGCUGCGUAGCCUCGUUGGCGUGGAUGUUGUUCAGAAAAAGCGAGGGGUUGUCGCGGCGUCGCGUAACGGCGAACGCCAGUGGGCAUACCGAUCGGCGCCGGCGGCGCUGCGCUCGACGCCUCGGCUGCAGUGCACUGUCCUGGUUGUUUUGUAGCGCGUGCAGAACAAAUGAUUGGACCUGUCGCCGGUGGAGCAUCGAUUCCAAUUGGCCAAUUGGGCAAUUUGGCCAUCGGCGGCGUGGUUGCAGACUUGCAGUUCCGGCCACUCUACUAUCUGGCACUUCGUUUUCCAUCUAUCAUUCUAUCCCUGCGCAGUAGGCCUGGUAGUGGGGCGGGUUGAAAUGAGUUUUAUUGGGCGGGUUGUGACGUGGGGUGUGUUUGAAUGGGUUAAAAUGGGUUUUAGUAUCUAAUGGGUUGGGACGGGUUGGGUAUAUCAGAAAUGCGGGUUGGGGCGGGUUGAAAGUGAUUUUUUGUUUGAAUUUGUAUGGAUUUAAUUCAUAGGUUUAACUUUCACGUUUCGGCUCUUGACGUGGGGCCAUGGUUUAAGUCCAGCCGCACUACUUUGCACAUAAUAGCGGACUGCCAAACUAAUUCAUUUGCAACAAAUUUCGGUCAAUUUUUCCAAAAUUUUAAGGUGUGAACGCGAGAUUUUAAUUUUAGGGUCCGACUCUUGACGCGGGGCCCACGUAUAAGUCCAGCCGCACUACUUUGCACAGAGUAGCGGACUGUCAAACUAAUUCAUUUGCAACAAAUUUCGGUCAAUUUCUCCAAAAUUUUAAGGUGUGAACGCGAGGUUUUAAUUUUAGGGUCCGACUCUUGACGCGGGGCCCACAUAUAAGUCCAGCCGCACUACUUUGCACAAAGUAGCGGACUGUCAAACUAAUUCAUCUGCAACAAAUUUUGGUCCAAAAUUUUAAGGUGUGAACGUGAGAUUUUAAUUUUAGGGUCCAACUCUUGACGCGGGCCCCACAUAUAAGUCCAGCCACACUACUUUGCACAGAGUAGCGGACUGUCAAACUAAUUCAUCUGCAACAAAUUUCGAUCAAUUUCUCCAAAAUUUUAAGGUAUGAACGUGAGGUUUUAAUUUUAAGGUCCGACUCUGGACGCGGGCCCCACACAUAAGUCCAGCCGCACUGCUUUGCACAGAGUAGCGGACUGUCAAACUAAUUCAUCUGCAACAAAUUUCGGUCAAUUUUUCCAAAAUUUUAAAGUGUGAACAUGAGGUUUGUAUAAAUUUAUAGGUUCAUGUACAAAACCCACGGGUUAUAUCAAUUUGUGAGGCGGGUUGGGUUGGAUUUACACAAUAGAAUUAUGGAGCGGGGUGGGGUAGGUGAAUGAGUUAAUUUAUUGCGGGUUGGGGUGGGUUUGGGACGGGUUUCAACCCAUUAGCAGGCCUACUGCGCAGACACUGGCGACGGCGAUGCAACAAAACUGGCGGUAAUUGGGGCCAUGUAUGCAAUGCACGAAUGUAUCUAUCCAGUUCCUGUCACAAGGAUCCGUCGAUCGUGUAAUGCCGUACGCUGCAGGUAACGGGAGUCAAUUUGAGCAUAACGAUCUGUCACCACCCAAUAGUGCUGUCGGCUGGGCUCAAUGAUAUUAUCGACGGCGGGAUAGCACAGAGUCACACAGAUGCAGUCGCGGAAGCUCGGUGAGAACUGGAAAAGCUCGCCCAUGAUCUUCACGGGCUCACGGCCAAUCCUACCGGACCGAGCCGUUUCGUCUCUGAACUCUGCAGGAGCAGGACACGGACGGCAGGAGACGGUCAGACAGUGAGACAAAGCAGCGAUCCAAAAUGCACCAGUGCUCGCGCCAAAUUGCUGGCGGCUACGCGCGACACAUGUGCAUGUGAGUAUGUGACCGAUCCAUCGAUCAGCCGCUCGCACGCACGAGCUACUCGCCCUACUCCUUUUGUAUAAGUGCUCCGAGCUGGUGAUCCAUUGUACAGUAGGAAAUGGCACAUGCAUACGCGAUUAGGAAAGGCAUGUGCCUCUGAGACUUGCACACUUUCCUCUGAGACCAUGCCUUUCCUGACGCUCUAGCUAGCCAGCUAGGUUCGCCGAGCUAUCCGCCGGCCGACAAGCCGGCCUCGUGGUUGAUCUCUCUCUAUCUAUCCUGUUCUUUCUCGGGGUCCGUCUCUCUCCGAAACGUAGACCGCAUUAAUCCGAGACACAUCAGUGGAUAAGGAUUUCCGAGUAUGCACGCACACAUAUGAUUUAUGCAACGGGCAGAGCAUCUCUCUGAUUUGGAGAAGUGGAUAGAUGUGCCCAUAUAUAGAAGUGCUCUGAACAAGACCAGAAUUGGUCAUGGCCUUGCGAGACACUGAUUUCCUUGGUGAUCCCUGUAGUGAAUUAGUGAUCUUGCAAUGGGGCCCAAGGGGUGUGGUGUCCAAAUGUGAUGAGUCGAUGAGAGCACGGCCGGCAUCGGCCUUCCUUUUUGCCCCGGCCGGCCUUGUUGUCAGAGCGGUCGGUGAACAUUGUUUACGCCGCCGCCGGCGGUUGUUCAUCACGUCACCGUUGGUAGCGCACGCUCGAUCGUCUAUGGAGGAUGAGGAUGAGGAUGACGAUUGGAUCGUGAUUUGAUUUUGGUGGGUUUCUACUAAUCUAGUGAGAUGAACAUUUCGUGCUAAGCUUUUUCUGAAAAGCCAGUGCAGCUUAGAGGUGUUUGGUUAUAGAGACAAAUUUAAUUCCUGUCACAUCAAAUAUGUAGAUAGGACUCAGCCGUAUUGAGCCUCCGUAUCAAAGAGGGACAUACGUACCUGCCAAGACCCUGUAUCUGGCCGGUCGCACUGACUGGUCUACCGCAACCGCCUCAUCAAACUGUUAUUUUGAGCAAUCCUCAUCAAACUGUUUUCCGUGACGCAUCCGGCCAAACCGAGCAGCCACAUGCCACCACCACUUCCCGGCUGUGGAUCCGGCCGCACUAUCGGCCGGCAAUCCCAGGCACUUCCGUUCGUGGCGAUCGCGGGAGAGCAGAGCUGCCGAGUACCCGUCGGGAUUGAGCCGCGCAGCCGACGUGUCGGCGAGGAAUGCAUGGCCCGCGCGCGAGACGGCGUGGUGGAGUCCAAGCGUGCGCGGAAGACGGCGACGUUUUGGCCUCGCUUUGGAGCGCCGUGGUGGUGAUCGCCGGCAGGUACGAUUGCUUUCCGAUAUUGGGGGUCGAUCAGGAAGAAAACUAUCCAUCGUGCAGUGGCGCGGGUCGGCGGGUGCACGGCCACGUAACGGCGCCGGUUUUUAUCGGGGCUUGACCUGACCACUCCGUGUCCAUCCGGAUUCGUUGACGAGGCCACGAAGGGGCCGGGGCGGACGCGCUGACUGGUACGUCGAACUCCUUUUUGCCAGACAACCUGACCGGACGCGGAUGAACAUGGUCGUGCGAGCCUGACAAGGCGUCCUCGACCGGUCGCCACUUUCUCAUAGGCACCUGAUGAAUAGAAGGAGAGAUUUGCUUUCUUUCGUUGACAGGCUUGGGAUUUUUACGUACGGAGUACGGUGACUGGCUGACUUUCUUAUCUCUGCAUGACAUAUGCAUAACCAUCUCUUAUACAUAAACUGAAAUGCUUAAACGAGUAUUGAUCCACCAAUAUUUUUGUUGACUAACUUUUUUUUUUGCGAAUAUUUUUGUUGACUAACCUGAAGACUUGCUGUAAUGAUCUACAAGUAAUGUCCAAAAUUUUGGUUGAGGGAUAGUAGUGUCCGCCGUAGGUAAGGGCUCUUUUUGCAGGGUUUCAGCUUCUCUGACUUUUAGUUUAUUUGAAUAUACAAUUUUUGUAACUGUAAGAAAUAAUUCUUAAAAGUUCUCUAGAAGUCAGAGCCGUCUCGGAGGAAAUAGUGUUAAUAUGGUUAAAAUCUACAUGACCUCGAAUUUCGUUGCUCCUAAUAGUAAUAAAAUUCGGGAUCAGCUCUUUCUGGAAAAGAAUCAUUACGCGGCAGCAUGCCAACGUUUGAGUGGUUUCCACCCCGAUAAGAGGUUAAGUUGCCUUUCUAGUUUCGACGAACGCUGUCAUUGCUCGGCGUCUCCGCCACUUAUCGCUGCUCCUCGAGUCAACUGGUGGUCAUUCGACACGUUUGCUUGCCUGGACGUGGAUCCGCAGUUCAGCACGCGCCAAAGCAGGCCCUCGUCGUGGCACCUCAGCGUACGUACCUCACCCCCACCACGUGAUGCGAUGUGGUGCUAUACCGAUACACCAUCAUGGCGCCGUUUGAAAGUUGAAACGAGAUCGGAGAUCCCCUGCUCUGCUGGCCGCCCAGGCAAUUGGACGCGACGCGGAGACACGUCGUGUUGACUCGACAGGCCAGAAAGACCCCCAAGGUGCGGUGCCCUGCUGGUGGCCUGGUCGUCCCUUGCUGCCGCCUUGCCUCGACAGCGGUGAGACAAAGGGCACGACCUUUCCUCCACUCUGUCCCCGGAUGGCCGGAUCCACACCGUUCUCCGCCGAAGACAAAUCCGGUCUGCCUCGCCCACUUCGCGUGGCUAGUCAGGGUAACUGUAGCUGGCUAGGCUGUACGCCUGGUCGCCUGUCCCCAAGCUGGGCGAACCUUGGCGUGGCCCCGCCAGAGACCCGAGGCACCAUGAACUCCUUCCUGGUCUCCGUCUCCGUUCCUCUGACUGCCUGAGCUGAUCCCUUUUCCUUGUCUUUUGGACCGAGGACGCUGCCGAAACCGACGACGAGAACCGUGCAGGCAUCACUGCGUGUUUGACCCUGAACAGGUGAACCAUGCGAAUAUGCGAUGGUCCAGCUGCCCAGGCAUACCUGCCCCGCACGAUCGAAAGCCAAAAAGGCUUGGGAUUUUGUUCCGUGUAACUUCAUGCCCUUUUGCCUUGCCGCCACAUUGCACAACCGCAGUGCUGGUAGGCGGUACCUUAGGCUAGAUCUGUCCUCGGAGUGCCAAGAUCUUGCUGAACUGCUCUGUCUCAGCCUCUCAGGAGACGCCUGGCCAGUGAUCAUCAUUGUGCCUUGAUAAUUCAGGCUUCCCCGGACCCCGGUCCGGCCUCUAUCACCCGCGAUUGCCCUGGUGUUCGUGCUUACCUGUUGGAGACCAGACCAUGCAGGAUUAUUUGCCUUUAAGCUUUACUUAAGAGAGUUGAGACAUUGCAGAUGCGUAGAAAAGAUUUGCCUGUGCCGUUUUGAUCAUGGAUUCGACUGCUAGCGUUGCCAUGAUCCAGCACGGAUUCGUGGGCCGGGCCCCGGGCUGAUAUUUCAAGUUAGCAGAUGCCAAGCGCCAUUUUUUGUUACAGGAUUCCUGCACAAGUUUACCCUUUUGAUCUCAACUCGAUCAUAUGAUGACGAUUGAUGAUAAUCAUAGAGCGAUUCCACCUCAUCCCUUCAAAUCUGUUGAGCUACACUAAUACGCAGCCAUUAUUGUUGGCCUAGCUCAUGUGCUUCCUGUGAGACCUGGGUAUUCGGUGCCUGAAUCUGAAUAGGAUGCCAUUCUGUGUGAUCUGGAUAGUUCAGACGUCGAUCCGAUGACUUUACAAGUCGGCAAAGCCGCAAAGGUUUAGUCCAGCAAAAAGUUACUGUUUUCAAACUAUCGGGCAGAUAUAAGAAUGGAACGCAAGAACGCAGAGCUGCAGAACAGUUAUCCUUCAACUCUAACAAAGUAGGCUUCUUAUAACACUACUUCGAGUUCACAUAAGACCUCACAUAGAACCCCCAGAUUUCACAGGUUUCAUGGCAAGCCUACACUCUACCAACACAACCUAAGAACAGACCUGGCAUUAUAACAUCCCUAAAGACGUGUAAAAACAUCAGUCCUUGCUUCUAUGCAACAUUCAUAAGAAAGAACAGACGACUGCUAAAACCUAGUGCCUCCU
rnacentral:lncRNA from 1 species